ACUUGAAAAAUAUGCACAUAUUAACACUUAACUCAGUUCAUAGCUUCAGGCAGAAACCACUAUGGGCCACCGCGUCGGAAAUCGCGUAUGGCGGUGGUGUCCACCAGAAAUGGAACUUGAUGGCAUCAUUCUACUCGUCUCCUCACGCUCUCCUAGAAUCUCCCCUCAAUUUCCCCAAAUUCUAGCCCUAAAUUCAUAACCGUAUUAAAGUCCUCAAGAACCCUAAAUACUCAAACCUAAAUUAAAUGUUGCCCUCAAAGAAUCAGAGCCCAGGGACUUAGGGCUCUGAUUCCUCAUGCCCUAACUCACAUUCCGGUAUUAAGAAAAUGAAGAAAAAUGAAGACUUUAGAUUUGCCUCUCUUGGAGAAGAACUUUAGAUUUGCCUCUCUCGGAGAAGAAGAUCGAAAAAAACAUCUCCGACAUGCUUUAGGUUUGAUGCAAGUUUUUUCUCGGGUGGUUGAUUGUAGCAGGUCUGGUUGCUCCAACUUGGUUCUACAGGUAUGCUUGUAGGAUGGUUUGUGUGGCAUUUCAUAAUGUAUGUUGCAGGCUCGGGUUUGAUGUCAUGGUGGUGUGAUGGAUGUCAUGUUGUUUUGGCUGAUGCAGAAAGUAAUUGCAUGUCCUUGGUUUUACAGGUCUACUGCCAAGGCUUGACAUUAUUGAAUCCAUUUGAAUGUGUUUGCUGCAACAUGAUGUUGGUGUUUGUAUUAUAGAAUUAUUGUGAGGUUUACAAUGGCUUGGGGAUGUUAACUGUUGCAGGUUUGUUCAUGUGUUGGCGUGCAUUGUAGUGAUUCUUCUUCUGACUUAGGAAUACCUUUCUUUGGUUUUGUAGGUCAUGGUUCAUGAAUAAUGGUAAUUGAGCCAAGGUGUGAAACAUGACCUCAAGAUGAUAUUUUGGAUUAACAUGUGAAAAAGGGAACCUCCAAGAUCAAGGAUCAAAAUAGGAUUUAGGGCAUAGGAUGGAAAUUUAGGGUUCUAGGGGAUUGGGUUGACUUUUAUCAAAGUUGACCAAAAAGUCAACAUUUGGUCAAAGUUCACCUUUUUUGUAUUUUCUCAUGUAAUGACACUUUUAUGAUUUAUGCAAUGGAAUUUGAUGUAUAUGAAA